UACGGGGGGGAGCAAGCGUUUGUUCGGAUUCACUGGGCGUAAAGGGUGCGUAGGUGGUGAGGUAAGUCGGAUGUGAAAUCUCCGGGCUCAACCCGGAAAUGGCAUUGGAAACUACCUUGCUGGAGGAUUUGAGGGGGGGAUUGGAAUACUUGGUGUAGCAGUGAAAUGCGUAGAUAUCAAGUGGAACACCAGUGGCGAAGGCGAAUCCCUGGAAAAUACCUGACACUGAGGCACGAAAGCUAGGGGAGCAAACAGG
rnacentral:rRNA from 1 species